AGCUGCUUAGCUUAAAUUAAAGCAUUUACUUUGAAAGUAAAAGUUAGAUAAAAAAUUUAGUUGCUU
rnacentral:tRNA from 1 species